rnacentral:rRNA from 1 species
AAUAGAUACCCGGGUAGUCCACGCCGUAAACGAUGAGUGCUAGGUGUUAGGGGGUUUCCGCCCCUUAGUGCUGAAGUUAACGCAUUAAGCACUCCGCCUGGGGAGUACGGCCGCAAGGCUGAAACUCAAAAGAAUUGACGGGGGGCCCGCACAAGCGGUGGAGCAUGUGGUUUAAUUCGAAGCAACGCGAAGAACCUUACCAGGUCUUGACAUCCGCUGACAAUCUUGGAGACAAGACGUUCCCUUCGGGGACAGCGUGACAGGUGGUGCAUGGUUGUCGUCAGCUCGUGUCGUGAGAUGUUGGGUUAAGUCCCGCAACGAGCGCAACCCUUGAUUCUAGUUGCCAGCAUUAAGUUGGGCACUCUAGAGUGACUGCCGGUAACAAACCGGAGGAAGGUGGGGAUGACGUCAAAUCAUCAUGCCCCUUAUGACCUGGGCUACACACGUGCUACAAUGGAUGGUACAAAGGGCAGCAAAGUCGCGAGGCUAAGCAAAUCCCAUAAAACCAUUCUCAGUUCGGAUUGCAGGCUGCAACUCG